GUUGGGGGAACAACUCAUCUUUAGUCUUUUUUAACUGGGCACAAAGAGCUGUUACAUUUAUCAGCGUUUCAAAAAAAAUGUUCUCGCUUUAACCGAACUUAAAUUUCUGCUGCUAAGGAACGUAAGAGUUAAACUUUUUUUGUUGUUUGCUGCGGAGGGCUAGAGAUUUACCAGGGAAGCCAAGUUACGGGGAGUUGUUAGGGUGAGGACUCAUUGUCCAGUAUCCCUGAGCCCGAAUUGUGCCCUGGAUGGCCGUGUUGGUCUCUCUCUGGUCAUCACGAGGAGCUUCUCUGUCAACCUCCCCCACCCCACUCCCCGCCUCAAUGACCAUUGCCCGCUCAGACGAUAGUGUGGCCCGGGACACACUCCCUCUCUCUCUCUCUCUCUCUUACCUGGCGUUGGUGCAGUCGUUGUAGAGGAUUUCGAAAUCCUUCCUGGAGAUGAGUUUACAGCGGUUGACCCCGGGCUGGAUGGCGCCCAGGCCCCGCAGGAUGCGCACUUGCUCCACAUUGCAGACCACGGGCGUUAUAUCCAGCCUCUUCAACUUGGUGUAGACGGUGUGCAGCCCGCCGACCAGGUGCUUGAGGAAGAGGUCGAAGGCCUGGGGCAGGCAGAUCAGCUCGUGUCCGUCUACGGUGAACGAGGCCACCUUGGCCCCCCGCAGCUCCACCAUCCUGCACUCGUUGUUCUGCGGCGUGUUCUCGACCGGAGACGGCGUGGAGUAAACCGGUUUCGUGCCGCCGUCCGCCCGGAAUAAACUCUGUGCUGUCCCCGCUGUCCCUGGCCCUGCUCCCGCUGCAGCUCCGGCCGCCGAGGAAGUGAUUGCAGGGGAGGAUGAAGAGGAGGAAGAUGAGGAGGAUGAAGGGGUCGAGAUUGGAGUCUGAUUCACCGGAGCUGGUGGGAUCAGUGCAACCGGAACGGCCAUGGUUGCUGGAACAUAGAAAAAUUGGGGGAAAAGAAAAAAAAGACAAAAAAAUCCCCACUGUAUUUCUCCUCUUGAACCAGAACAGGAAUCAACACACAUUCAUUUAAAAGAAAAGAUAAUUGGGAGACUGAGAGAAUCCCAGGAAAGAGAGAGAGCAAGAAAGUUUUAAAAGGGCUCAUCCCAUAUGAUCCGUCUAAAAGAUUGACAUCUUAUAAAUCUGUUACACAUGGCCAAGGAGCUUACUUCUCAACCCAAACAUCCUGGCAAUUUUGCAUUUCUGCUGGAACACAAAUUGGUUGUAAUAUGGUUGAUGAAUAGUGGUUGCUGUCUUUAUAACACAAACUGUCUACAGCACAGGUAUAGCAAUUUUCUACAGUAAUUUUCCUGUAAUGUAACUUUCUACGGUGAUUUUCUAUCAUACAAUUUUCUGUAGCAUGAAGAUACACAACAUCGCAACUAUCGUGUUAAAAGAGAAAUAUCUGUACAUAGCGACCAGGAAUCUUUCUCGCUGUUACCCUUUUCUACUGGCACAUUGCAAAGACUUGCAGGUUGUUAACACAACCCGUUUGACCAUAGUUGAUCAUGCCUUCCUGACUAUCAUGCCUGGGGUAGACUCAAACCUAGAGCCUCUGACUGACGGAUAGUGAGACACUAUGCCAAAGGAUGCACAAACCUUACAAAAAACCUUAUAUGAAAUUUUGCCAAGUCAGGGAGUACUCUAUAAUGAAGCUGGAAAGAAGCCCCUCAAGACAUUUCAGAUUUAAGCCUCAGAGGACCCUUUCCUUUUGCUUCGAGCCCUUUGUUUGCUGGUCCUCUUCGUUAAAGCCUCCUUUGGUCAAUUUGUUAAUGAUGUGGUGGUUUAACUGUGGUCCCACUGCUGGUGCUCAGCAUUCCAUUCAACUAAUGAAGACAACCUUACACGAUGUGAAGUGUACACAUUUAAAGUUAUCUGUGGCAUUACAUCUUUCACUGUGUCGAGUCUUACCAAAGAGAUAGUGAAUAGAAUUGAUCUUAUAUUAUCAUGCUCGUAGCAAAGGAUACCUUAGGACCCAGCAGCACAGUAUUGGAGUCAUAUGGUCAGCCCAUAAAUAUUCCAUUAUCAUCAAGGAAAUAAAAUCUCUUCAAACAUAGGAUGCUUUUCUAUCUAAACAAUGGUGUUUAUUUUAUUUUAUGGCCUGAUUGCAGCAUUGGUGGGACUUAAGAUGAAAGAUCAUUAACCAUUGUCUCUCUGUAAUUUGAUAUUGCUAAUUAAAUGAUUCAUUACCAUUUUGCAUCUGCUCCUCAGAGGUGACCCAAGAUGCGUUCUUCACCACAUACUCUACACUGCUUUCAGAUUAUGUGAGACAUUUGGUGAAGCAGAAGACAGCUGAGCAAGAGAUUCAUUUGAACUCAGACUGCGCAGAAGGUUCUGGGACUUCAAGCAAUUCAUUGUGAUUAAACUAUUAGCUGCAGUAUGAUUAAACACAGUAGUUCACUGAAGUGUGAUUAAAAAAUGUUAAUUUCAAUGAAUAAAACUGAUAAUUAUGGCUUAAAUAAUAAUAUUAAUUGCAGUAAGACUGAAACUAGUACUUCUGUGACUGAUUUAUGGCAGGAGAUAAAAUAAAACAGCAAUUCAGAUGUAAGCCUAUCUCACUAAGUUUCUAGUGCAGCCAAGCAUAUUCCUCCAUUCAGGUCCCGCCUCUCCAGCUAAUGAUCGUUAAGCUGUCCUGGAAAAAGUGAAGACUACAUUGCUACCUCACUGAUGCACUCUGUCUCAGAGCAUUUCCCAGCUCAUGUAUAGAACCCAAAUCAUAUGCUAGCUUCUGUACUGAGCCCCGAAAGGUAUCAGUGAAGUAUAUUAUAUCCUCGAUAAUAUUAACUUUAAUCAAUUUGGAAUUCAGUUUCAUGGAUUUGUUGUAUCUCCCUUUUUGAAGUUAGGAGCUAAUCUUACUGUAUGUCACCCUCUGUUACUAUUACUUUUCCUACAGAUUUUUUAAAAAUUGUGUUUUAAUCUACAAUCUCUACCAAACUUCCAUAGCGUAUCCCCAAAUGUUUUGUUCUAUGUUCUUGUCCUUAGUGAGUUUGCAUUGUAUCUACUUUCUUAUUCUCUUCACUGUUGCACAAUCCUUCCAGACUUGGUCUACUUUUGUUUUGUUUUUGUCUUUGACACCCAUUUCAGUCAAAUUCAUGACAAAGUGUCUAUUCAAUAUCCCUGCUAUUUAAAAUACUAUACAAGCAGAACUAGACUAUGUCAAGAUUUAGUAUCUGGAACAUUGUAGACUGUUGGAAAGUGUGCAUGCAUGGAUGGAAGAGUAAUGUUGAUCUAGGCUAUGGCGAUUCAGUGGUCAAAUCAGAAACUGAUAUUCACUGUUCAGGUUUAUCAUGGAGAGCUGUGAGGAACUGUAAAUACUCAAGACAUGUAGAAUCAUGGAAAUACGUCAGUGCAAGUCAAUGUCUUCAGGAUAAAAGGCAGAAAAUGAGGAACAAACAAAAUGAAAAAUAUUACUUAAAUAAUAAAAUAGAAAUUAAUUAUAUCACAGAAGAAAACAGAAUAAUUAAAAUGGAUGAGUAGGUAGGAAGACUAGCUUGGAACCAAUAAUGCUAAGUGCUGUACCAAGUGGUACCAAGUUGGGUGGGAGGGUGAACUGUGACGAGGAUGCAAAAAUCCUUCAGCAUAUUCUCGAGAGGUUGGGUGAGUGGGCAAAUUAAUGGCAGAUGCAGUACAAUUUAGAUAAAUGUGAGGUUAUUCACUUCAGAAGCAAAACAAGAAGGCAGAUUACUACCUGAAUGGCUGUAAAUUGGGAGAAGGGAGUGUACAGUGGGGCCUGGGUCCCUUAUGUAUCAGCUGCUGAAGGCAAGGAUAGAGGUGCAGCAGGCAGUAAAGAAGGCAAAGGGUAUGUUGGCCUUCAUUGUGAGAGUUUUGAGUUGAAGAGCAGGGGUGUGUGGUUGCAGUUAUAUAGGGCCUUGGUGAGGCCAAACCUGAAGUAUUGUGUGCAGUUUUAGUCUCCUUUUCUGAAGAAGGAAGCUCUUGCUCUUGAGGAGUUCAGCAAAGGUUUACCAGGCUGAUUCCAGGGAUGGCGGGACUGGCAUAUGAGAAGAGAAUGACUCGGCUGGGAUUGUUUUUGCUGGAAUCAGAUGGAUAAAGGGGCAUCCUAUAGAGACUAAUAAACUUCUAACAGGACUGGACAGGGUAGAUGCAGGGAAAAUGUUCCACAUGGUGGGUCACAGUAUGAGAAUUUGGGAUAGAUGAUUUAGGACAGAGAUGAUGAAACGUUUCUUCACCCAAAAAGUGGUGAGCCUGUGGAAUUCAUUACCACAGGAAGUGGUUGAUACCAAAACAUUGAAUGUAUUCAAGAGUCGACAAGGUAUAGCACUUGGGAUGAAUGGGAUCAAAGGUUAUCGGGAGAAAGCAGGAUUGGCCCGUUGAGUUGAACAAUCAGCCAUGAUCGUGAAGAAAGACAGAGCAGGCUCGAAAGGCCAAAUGGCCUCCAAGCUCCUAUCUUCUAUGUUUCUAAGUAAUAUGACGCGAUAUAGAGGUAAAAAUGCAAUGAGUUAAAACUUUGCAUAUAAAAGUAACAAGCUGCAAAAAGCCUUGCCUCAGGCUUAUCUAAGACUGACAGCUUAGGCAGUAAGCACUUAGGUCUUGCACCAAUUUCCUGCUUAGAAUCUAGCAGCCGGAGCUUCUCUGGCUAGCGGCGCAUAUCAGGGAAUCUCAGGCAUCAGGCCCACAACUUCCUGAUGAGCAUUGACAUUGGCUGAGACUCCUUGUUGGUUAUGUAAACUAGGAGAAUUCACACUGUCGGAGUAUCCUAUUGUUACAAAGCAAUGGUAUUUGCACAUAUUUCGGAUUCCAGAAUGGAGCUCUAUAUUAUGUUUCAUGUUAUGUGAUCAGUUCUUUUGAAUUUGCAUUUUUGAUUUUUGCCACAAAUUUGGACUGAAUUAAGUCAGAAGAACUAAUAUUGAAGAAAGUUAGUGCAGAUUAUGUGCUACAAGUCAAGAUAAUAUCUUGAUGUUAGACUAGACGUUAUAACAUAAUUUCCUCUUUGAAUAGUUCCUCACUUGAUUAAUGAUCCUCUAAUGAAAUUGCACAUGAUGCUGCAAAGCCGCACUUGAUUUUUGAGAAGAUUAUGAGUUUUAGAGAGAAAAACAAACACCAAUGCAUGUUGGGAAUGUGUUUUAUUGGGAAGAGAUCCUUUGGGUGACAUUGAUGGAUUUGGGAAGUCAGGAACUUCAACAUGGACAGGCCGCAGGAGAAAACUGCAUGAGAACCAUUGCACAUGAAGGAAGUAUUACUUUAAAGUUGAGUUUAUUCCUUUCCUUGCUAACUUGGCUGGUUUUGUAUCAUUAUAUUGGCUAGAUAUAUCACUUCCAAUUCAAUGUACACUUGCAGAGCAAAAUUAAAACAGUGACCAAAAUCUUUGCAAAUAUCGAACACAAGCAAUUUGCUUAGUUUUUCUUCUGGUCCUUUUCAGUGAUAGCUGUUGCUGAUAUUGAUUGGAAUUGAAAUUGCAAUUAACUUAUUUUCCUUUCUGUUUUCAGUAAGCAGCAAGUCUGCACUUCGGUGAGUGAACAUUGACUGGUUUCACUGAACAUAAAUAUGUACAAAGAAUGGAGACAUAACCAUGGACUGACAGGGACCUUAAAAUGAUCCCAAGCUGAAUUUUUAGCUUCUCAUUCAAACUCUUUUGUCAAGAGUAAUUCAUGGUGGCUGGUCCUCCAUGGCCUGAAUGGGCCUUUCCAAAGCAAUCUUCCACUCUUCAGCUCAUUAAUUAUACAAUCAGAUUCUCGAGCACCUUCUCAUGGAAUCAAAUGGCAGGGAAGAGGAAGUAUUCGCCUCAUCUGGGACCUGCCAACUUUCAGUCCACUGCCGUCAUGUUUAAAGCUCAGUUGUGCACCACUUCAGAACUCUGCAAGCCUUGGGACUGCCCCUCAGUCUGUGUUGCUCAACCCAUCACACUGAGGAUGUGUCCCAGAAAAUCAACUUUGCUUCUUGCUUCGCUAACGGGAACCCAGAGGGGUUGCUGAAUGGUUUGGUGGAGAGGAGAACCACGUUCUUUUUACCCUGCUCACUGCUGAAGGACACCAGCUCAGUAGACAUAGCCAACCUGGUCAAAGAGAGUGGCCGAGGUCUGUCCUGUGUUGCAGGUUAAAAGGAAUGUGCUACAAUGCAAGAGAAUUAUUGAUUUCUGACAUGCCAUAUCCGGAAUCUCUGGUCUGGCCCAAUCAUCAGACUGUGAAGACAUGAAUCGCCAGAUUCUGAUAAGUCCUAAGACUUGAUCAUCCAUGGGUGAUCGCCUAGACUGGAUUCACGUCAGUUCUGAGACGGACUGUGACAGCCUGUAGGCCCCAUAGACUCCACAAGAACAGCUCCCCUUUGACUUUCAGACAGGGCCAUUUGGCUGAAGCACAUGCAAUGCACUUGCUACACAAAUUGCCGGCAUUUGCGGCAAUUGUAGCAGAGAUUGACAGCCUGUGUGCGAAGAAAACAAUGCAAACCAGAGGCUGGUAGCCAUCAUAUAAGCACAAGGUGAGUGCUAAGAAAUGUAACAAAGAACCAGAAUCUUGUGUAAAUGGAUGAGAUGUUCGUGUGUCCCUGCAUGCAAACUGACUUGAAAGAAAUGCACAGGUCAUCGAUAUCCCUGAGCUCCAAAAUAAAGUGAAGUGCUGGGCUAGAUUGACAGUUGGUUCAAGAUGAAGCCUGGUGAUAUGGUGAGGCUAGUGGCCUGCCAAUGCCAGGUUUUGUGGAUGAAGGAUGAAGGCAGCUCUGGGCAUGAGGAGCCACUUACUGAAGACACAGUUGGAUGAUGGCCAGGGCAAAGAAAUCAGCAAAUUGCAGAUUCUCUGAUGUAUAUAUAUGUUUGGAAUUUGCACUGUCUUGUUUCUUGGAGAAGGAGAAAAAUGAAAGUGUAAAUGAGGCAA